rnacentral:rRNA from 1 species
UACGUAGGGUCCGAGCGUUGUCCGGAAUUAUUGGGCGUAAAGGGCUCGUAGGCGGUUCGUCACGUCGGGAGUGAAAUCCCGGAGCUUAACUUCGAGCCUGCUUCCGAUACGGGCAGACUAGAGGUAGGCAGGGGAGAGCGGAACUCCUGGUGUAGCGGUGGAAUGCGCAGAUAUCAGGAAGAACACCGGUGGCGAAGGCGGCUCUCUGGGCCUUACCUGACGCUGAGGAGCGAAAGCGUGGGUAGCGAACAGG